rnacentral:misc_RNA from 1 species
GAUGAAGAACGCAGCGAAAUGCGAUAAGUAAUGUGAAUUGCAGAAUUCAGUGAAUCAUCGAAUCUUUGAACGCACAUUGCGACCCUUGGUAUUCCGAGGGGCAUGCCUGUUCGAGCGUCAUUAUAACCCCUCAAGCUCAGCUUGGUGUUGGGGCCUGCUGCACUGGCAGCCCUUAAAAUCAGUGGCGGCGCCAUCUGGCUCUAAGCGUAGUAAUUCUUCUCGCUAUGGAGUCCUGGUGGAUGCUUGCCAUCAACCCCCAAUUUUUCUAUGGUUGACCUCGGAUCAGGUAGGGAUACCCGCUGAACUUAAGCAUAUCAAUAAGCGGAGGA